CAUAACAUAAAACAUAUUUUUUGUUAUGUCAGCCAUGUACCAUGUACCAUGUAUCACUUCAGUUCGCCUACUCCGCUUCUGUUCACCUAGCGGCCAAACCGCUCCACAGACAAUGCAAUCUCAUCUGCCCUUCACUCAACCCUCUCCCACCUCGACAAAAAAAGACACUUACGCCAUUUAUCGACACUUAUGCUGUUUAUCGACUUCAGCUCAGCAUUCAAUACUGCCAUUCAAUACAGCACACAAUACCUCACCUCAGAAGCUGGAGAGGAGGUUGGACCUGCUGGGAAUAAGCUCUCCACCCUGCAGCUGGACCUUGGACUUCCUAACAGACGGGCCUCAGUCUGUGUCUAUAGGAAAUAACACCUCCAUGGUCCUCAGACUGAGCUCAGGUUCCCCACAGGGAUGUGUGCUCAGCCCACUGCUGGUCACUCUGCUGACACACGACUGUGCUGCACAGUACAAUUCAAACCACAUCAUCAAGUUCUCAGAUGACACAACAGUAGUGGGGCUCAUCACCAACAGCGAUGAGUCUGGUUACAGAGAAAAGAUAAAACAUCUGGUGGAUUGGUGCCGGAGCAACAACCUGACUCUCAAUUUCACCAAGACCAAAGAGAAGAAGAAGCUGACUGUCCCCAGCCCACUGCACAUCAAUGGAUCUGCUGUUGAGAUCAUCAGCAGCGUGAAGUUCCUGGAUGUGCACAUGAAAGCCCAGCAACAUCGGCACUUUCCCAGAAAGCUGAAGAAGGCCAACCUCCCUCCUCCCAUCCUCACACUAUUCUACCAGGGGACCAUUAACUGUGUUCUCUGCUGCUACAUCAUUGUCUUGUACAGGACAGCAGGACAGACAGCAGAGCGCUUCAUCGGGGUUCCACUUCCACCAUCUCCCAGCUCCCACGAGAAACACCUCAUCCGUUGAGCUCGGAACAUAAUGCAGGACUCUCACCACCCCUCACAUGCCCUCUUCUCCCUCCAACCAUCUGGCAGACGGUUCCACAGCAUCAGAACUGAAACCGCCAGACACUGCAAGAGCUUCUUUUUCCAAGUAGUCAGAGCUCUCAAUGCUCUGCCAUCACCUACCACUGUUAAACUCAACAACAAGAC
rnacentral:lncRNA from 1 species